GACGAACGCUGGCGGCGUGCUUAACACAUGCAAGUCGAACGGUGAGGCAGAGCUUGCUCUGCGGAUCAGUGGCGAACGGGUGAGUAACACGUGAGUAACCUGCCCCUGACUCUGGGAUAAGCGUUGGAAACGACGUCUAAUACCGGAUACGACCUGAGGUGGCAUCUUCUCGGGUGGAAAGAACUUCGGUUGGGGAUGGACUCGCGGCCUAUCAGCUUGUUGGUGAGGUAAUGGCUCACCAAGGCGACGACGGGUAGCCGGCCUGAGAGGGUGACCGGCCAGACUGGGACUGAGACACGGCCCAGACUCCUACGGGAGGCAGCAGUGGGGAAUAUUGCACGAUGGGCGCAAGCCUGAUGCAGCAAUGCCGCGUGUAUGAAGAAGGCCUUCGGGUUGUAAAGUACUUUCAGCGGGGAGGAAGGCGGUGGAGUUAAUAACUUCACCGAUUGACGUUACCCGCAGAAGAAGCACCGGCUAACUCCGUGC
rnacentral:rRNA from 1 species